rnacentral:rRNA from 1 species
GACAGAGGGUGCAAACGUUGUUCGGAAUUACUGGGCGUAAAGCGCGUGUAGGCUGCUUGGCAAGUCGGAUGUGAAAGCCCUGGGCUCAACCUAGGAAGUGCAUUCGAAACUUCCAAGCUGGAGUGCUGGAGAGGAAGGCGGAAUUCUCGGUGUAGAGGUGAAAUUCGUAGAUAUCGAGAGGAACACCGGUGGCGAAGGCGGCCUUCUGGACAGUUACUGACGCUGAGACGCGAAAGCGUGGGGAGCAAACAGG